AAUCAACGCUGGCGGCGUGCCUAAUACAUGCAAGUCGAACGGGCACCUUCGGGUGUCAGUGGCAGACGGGUGAGUAACGCGUGGGAACGUACCCUUCGGUUCGGAAUAACCCAGGGAAACUUGGGCUAAUACCGGAUACGUCCGUAAGGAGAAAGAUUUAUUGCCGAAGGAUCGGCCCGCGUCGGAUUAGCUAGUUGGUGGGGUAAUGGCCCACCAAGGCGACGAUCCGUAGCUGGUCUGAGAGGAUGAUCAGCCACACUGGGACUGAGACACGGCCCAGACUCCUACGGGAGGCAGCAGUGGGGAAUAUUGGACAAUGGGCGAAAGCCUGAUCCAGCCAUGCCGCGUGAGUGAAGAAGGCCUUAGGGUUGUAAAGCUCUUUCAGCGGGAAGA
rnacentral:rRNA from 1 species